AGGCAGAAUUCCUGGCAUCAGUCUGGAUUGGACAACCCCCAUUUAAAGCUUUCCAAGGACUGUCUUCGUUGAUUUCGAAAGAGAACAAGCUGCCACUUUUGUUCAACUUCUCAGAUGAGUACAGAUUAAUAUUGUACGUUUUACACGUCAGAUCAUCCAAGCUCUGGUUCUGCAGCUUUUCUGUUAUUAGUGUUACCAUUGUAGUUGUUCCUUUUCUGCUGCUCACACAGAAGUGUUGGAGGCUCUUAGGUGUCGUUUCAAUAAUCACAAGCCAUUUCUGUUUUGGUUUAAAGUCUUGAGAUUUAUGCUUCCAUCUUACUGCCAAAGUUUAUUUCCAAAUGCUGUCAGUGUUUCAUGUCUGCUUUUCUGUAAAACUGAGCCCGCACGGGCCGCCUCCCCUCCGC
rnacentral:lncRNA from 1 species